rnacentral:rRNA from 1 species
UCAAGUUAUUAAGGGUGCAGGGCGGAUGCCUUGGCACUAGGAGCCGAUGAAGGACGUGAUAAGCUGCGAUAAGCUUCGGGGAGUUGCACGUAAACUUUGAUCCGAAGAUUUCCGAAUGAGGAAACUUCACUUAGAGUAAUGUCUAAGUAUCAUUAAGUGAAUACAUAGCUUAAUGAGGGGAACUCAGGGAACUGAAACAUCUAAGUACCUGAAGGAAGAGAAAGAAAUUCGAUUCCGUAAGUAGCGGCGAGCGAACGCGGAUUAGCCCAAACCAAUAAAGUUUUCUUUAUUGGGGUUGCGGACAUAUCAUAACGAAGAGGUAUCGUAAUUGAAGAGGUUUGGAAAGACCCACCACAGAAGGUAAUAGUCCUGUAUGUUAAACGAGAAGACUUUAGAUAUGAUCCAGAGUACCACGGGACACGUGAAACCCUGUGGGAAGCAGGAGGGACCACCCUCCAAGGCUAAAUACUACCUAGUGACCGAUAGCGUAUAGUACCGUGAGGGAAAGGUGAAAAGAACCCCGGGAGGGGAGUGAAAUAGAACCUGAAACCCUGCACUUACAAGCUGUGGAAGCACAUUUCUUGUGUGACCGCGUACUUUUUGUAGAACGGGCCAACGAGUUACGUUAAGUAGCAAGGUUAAGCACUUAAGGUGUGGAGCCGUAGCGAAAGCGAGUUUUAACUGAGCGUUCAGUUACUUGACGUAGACCCGAAACCGGGCGACCUACCCAUGAGCAGGAUGAAGCGAAAGUAAAAUUUCGUGGAGGUCCGAACCCACGAGCGUUGAAAAGCUCGGGGAUGACUUGUGGGUAGCGGUGAAAUUCCAAUCGAGCCCGGAGAUAGCUGGUUCUCCCCGAAAUAGCUUUAGGGCUAGCCUCAAGGUGAGAGAUACGGAGGUAGAGCACUGAAUGUCCUAGGGGGUAUUGCACCUACCGAAGACUAUCAAACUCCGAAUGCCGUCAUCUUAUACUUGGGAGUCAGACUGUGGGUGAUAAGAUUCAUAGUCGAAAGGGCAACAGCCCAGAUCGUCAGCUAAGGUCCCUAAAUGUAAGUUAAGUGGUAAAGGAUGUGGGAUUGCACAGACAACCAGGAUGUUGGCUUAGAAGCAGCCACUCAUUCAAAGAGUGCGUAAUAGCUCACUGGUCGAGUGAUCCUGCGCCGAAGAUUUCCGGGGCUAAAACUUACUACCGAAGCUACGGCAUCAGUAAUGAUGGGUAGGGGAGCUUCCCAUACGGGUUGAAGCAUGACCGUAAGGACAUGUGGACAGUAUGGGAGUGAGAAUGUUGGCAUGAGUAGCGAGAUGUGGGUGAGAAUCCCACAGGCCGUAAACCCAAGGUUUCCAGGGGAAGGUUCGUCCGCCCUGGGUUAGUCGGGACCUAAGCUGAGGCCGAAAGGCGUAGGUGAUGGACAACAGGUUGAUAUUCCUGUACUACCGAUAACCGUUUGAGAGAAGGGAUGACACAGUAGGAUAAGCUAAGCACACUGUUGGUUAUGUGUGCCCAAGCAUUGAGGCAGUCAAAGUAGGCAAAUCCGCUUUGAUAAUGCUGGGAUGUGAUGGGGAGCGAAAUUUAGUAGCGAAGUAGCUGAUUUCACACUGUCAAGAAAAGUCUCUAUCGAGGUUAAAGGUACCCGUACCGCAAACCGACACAGGUGGGUGAGGAGAGUAUCCUAAGGCCAGCGAGAGAACUGUUGUUAAGGAACUCGGCAAAAUGACCCCGUAACUUAGGGAUAAGGGGUGCCACCAUCAGGUGGCCGCAGAGAAUAGGCCCAAGCGACUGUUUACCAAAAACAUAGGUUUCUGCUAAGUCGCAAGACGAUGUAUAGGAGCUGACGCCUGCCCGGUGCUGGAAGGUUAAGGGGAUCUGUUAGAGCAAUCGAAGCAGUGAACUUAAGCCCCAGUAAACGGCGGCCGUAACUAUAACGGUCCUAAGGUAGCGAAAUUCCUUGUCGGGUAAGUUCCGACCCGCACGAAAGGCGUAACGAUUUGGGCACUGUCUCAACAACAGACUCGGUGAAAUUGUAAUUCCGGUGAAGAUGCCGGAUACCUGCGACAGGACGGAAAGACCCCAUGGAGCUUUACUGUAGCUUGACAUUGGGUCUUGGUACUACAUGUACAGGAUAGGUGGGAGGCUUUGAAACCAGGACGCCAGUUUUGGCGGAGCCAUCCUUGGGAUACCACCCUUGUAGUACUGGGACUCUAACCAUAGGCCAUGAAUCUGGUCUUGGGACACUGUCAGGUGGGCAGUUUGACUGGGGCGGUCGCCUCCCAAAAGGUAACGGAGGCGCUCAAAGGUUCUCUCAGUACGGUCGGAAAUCGUACGUAGAGUGUAAAGGCAAAAGAGAGCUUGAUUGCAAGACAUACAGGUCGAGCAAGGAUGAAAAUCGGACUUAGUGAUCCGGUGGUUCUGCGUGGAAGGGCCAUCGCUCAACGGAUAAAAGCUACCCUGGGGAUAACAGGCUUAUCUCCCCCAAGAGUCCACAUCGACGGGGAGGUUUGGCACCUCGAUGUCGGCUCAUCACAUCCUGGGGCUGUAGUAGGUCCCAAGGGUUGGGCUGUUCGCCCAUUAAAGUGGUACGCGAGCUGGGUUCAGAACGUCGUGAGACAGUUCGGUCCCUAUCCGUCGCAGGCGUAGGAAAUUUGAGAAGACCUGUCCUUAGUACGAGAGGACCGGGAUGGACGUACCUCUGGUGUACCAGUUGUCCUGCCAAGGGCAUGGCUGGGUAGCUAUGUACGGAAUGGAUAAGCGCUGAAAGCAUCUAAGCGCGAAGCCAACUUCAAGAUAAGAUUUCCCACCGCAAGGGUAAGACCCCAGAAAGACUAUCUGGUUGAUAGGUCGAAGGUGUAAGUGCAGCAAUGUAUUUAGCUUAUCGAUACUAAUAGGUCGAGGACUUGACCAA